ensembl:lncRNA
UCUAGAGUGGACAGAGGGAGCGAGGAGCCGUCUGCUGGGGGCCGGAAGGACACACGUGGUCUUCCACGGCCUGCAGUACAGCACUCUGUCACUGCUGUCACAGGCAAUGCAAGUCUUACCUGAAGCUGAGAUAAUGGCCACGAAGGCUGCAGCUUCCAGUCCUGAGGGCAGCCCCUGGGAAGUGGAAUGGAGCAUUUCCCCAGGCCCUGCCUUGAUUUUCAUGCAAGAAAGGCCAGCAUUUCCGUUUCCCCAGAUGCCAGCAGGCCAGGAGCUCCUCUGUACCCCUCCCUCUUCCUCCAGGUCUUGUCUCUUCUCAGAUGGGAACAGAUGCUGAAACACGCACACACACAUGCAUGCACAUGCACACACUCCCUCCAUGUCCUCCCCCAGAUCUUAUCUGCUCUGACCCUCUGGCCACCGCACAUGGAGAGAAGGUGUUCCACCUUUGGGCGUGGAGGGCAGGCACGAAGAAGACGUUUUCCUCUUCCCUCCUUACCAAGAGCAGUCUCUCAGCAACCCCGACAUAAUCCAAGUGCUUUGAGGGGAAAAGCAGCUCCUAUAGCUUUCUGGUCCCUCAUGGUGCCUUGGACAAGACGCGGCUACAUAAACAGCAUGUGAGAACUGGAAGGAACCUUAGAGGCUUGUGAUGGCAGGACCAUCGGGAGUUUACAGAGGAGGGACUGGGGCCCAGAGAGGAGUCUUCUCCAGCCGUCCGGCUGGUCUCCGGUGGAGCCUGGUCCAGGGCCCCGUCUCCAGUGGAGGUGUCGGGUAGCCAAAGCCCUAGGGAAGGGCUGCCUUUCCAGGAACACGUGUAAGCCCCCGGGAGCUUGUUACUUGACAAGAGCCUGGAGAAGCCAGUGACAGCUCCGAGGCCCACCUCUGCUCACCACAAGAUGGCAACAGAGCUUUGCAGGAGCCCCAGCUUGGGGGCUGGUGUCCAGCGCUCUCUGAGGACUGGACCUCACAUCCCUAACCCUGGUGGUCUGAGCACUCCUUCCAUAUCUUCAGGCCAGGCUGAGGGUUCCUUUGCUGUAGGCCUGCACAUGUCUCUCCUUGCUGUUUUAGUGCCUUCAACUCCAUGCUGACUUGCACCUGUUGACUGGUUCUGUCCCUUUUGGCUCUUCUGGUGAGGCAGGAGGACACAGUUCUACUCACAGGACUCUAACAAGGAGAAGAGUUUAAAGUGGCUUUUCCACCUGGAAGCAAUACUGCUUGAAUCGCGCACCCUUUCUCCAGCACUCACCAGGCCCCUUUCUCCCCUGCGCUCUUCAGCAUCCUUCCCAUGGAGCCAUGCCUGGCUGCGGUGGUCCCACUGGAGUGGCAGCUCUGGGAGGAGGUAAGGAAGCUGGAGUGGGAGAGUUGGGGGCUCACAACAUCCCCAUCCAGGAUCUCGUUUGCACUACUCCCUUCAUUGCCAGGGGAUGCUUGUGAGAUGGCCAACCAGGGUGUCCACUGAGGAAUUUGUUCCCAUGCUGAUCAAACAGUAGUUAUCACUCCAAAUUGGUCCUGAAGGCUGGGGUGCCAAGGGAGGCAAGAGCAAAACAGAACAAGAUGCUGUGCCUUUCAGCUCUGCCCUGGACAAAGGUUUGUGGAGUGAAUGCAAGGAGAGCAUGGAGACGUUGACUGCGUGAAUGAAUGGGGUGAAUAGAUGAAUGGUACGAAUAAAUGAGUGAAUGAAGAAAUGGAAGGCAGGGUGAGAAGAGGCAAACUCUUCGCCACACGCCACUGGCUGGCCUGACUGUGUGUUGCCAGCAUUCUCAUGCCUCGAAGAUGGCCAUGUGGCUUUGCCAGUCCCCAGGGAGCAUCUGUUCAUAGAUACCCAAGAAGUCAACCCUUCACCAAUAGGAAACAGCCGUGAGGAAGUCUUCACAUGUUCUCUGCUUUGUGCGUUUCUGCCCUAGUCCGGGUCCUGGCAGGAGGUUGGCUCACUUAUAUAAAAAUGAACAUCUACCCAUCAGAAGCAUGGUUCAAGACCCUCUGCAUGCAGCCUGAAAGAUAGACUUCGGGGACGGCUCUGUGGUCAAGGGCAAACAUCAAAUGUAUUUUUUAUUGACUGUUUAAGGACAAAAACAAUAGCAGAGCGCCAGCACCGAAGAUACUCCUUGGUAAAAGUCACAGAAGUCCCUCUCACCUACUGCUCCACGGUGGCCCUUGUCACAGAAGUAGGCCAGGAGAGCGGCCCACACUGUCCAAUCCUGUGGAGAUGUUGAGGAGGAAACCACCUGGAAAUGGGCCUGCUUUGCUAAGGGUCCAAUCCAGGAUCCCACAUUUAGCAAGUUUGUUUUUAGAAAAUAAACUGUGGCUGUGGUAGGCAGAGUGGACUGGAGAGGCCUGGGUCUGGAGGCCAGAGAACCUGAGAGCAAGCUGGGCAGGAGCCUGGUGGGAGAUAUCGGGGGCAGGAAUUCCAGCUGUUGCAGAAGAGGAGAGAGGAGGGGUAAUAUGGCCCCGAAGAUUAAGGGACUCUAGGGUUGACAAGUGAAGUCAAAACGUUAUCACGUGUUGCUUGCUUCUACAUUUUAUGCAGUCCUCUAGGCGGCAGAUAAUUAUUGAGCACCUACCAGGUGGCAGGCACCAAUGUUCUCCGGACACAUGGCUAUGGGUUCCACCUGCCACCCUCACACGUCUCCAACUCUAGCCUGGUUUUCCCAUUUCACAGCCAACUUCCGCUGCCUGUGAGUAUGCUAAAACCAAACUCCGCUCCUUAAAAGAAGUCCAACACUGAAAGAAUUUUCACAGCCUGUCCUUCCUGCUGCCAAGAAUAUAUAUUACCAAUUUCCAGUGGAAGCUCAAAUGUCCCUUUGUAAUAACCUAGCCUCUGAGCGCUAAGUUUGAGGGGUCACCACAAGUUGGGAGUCACCUAGGGACUGACUGCCAUGCUGCCCAGCGAGAGGUCGAGGGGGAGGCCGGUGUGAGGUGGUAAUGGAGUUUGAGACCCAGGGGGUCUGCAUGCACACUCCCUUGGGUUGCAGCCCAGGGUUAAGAAAAAAAUCCAGAGAAAUCCUGGUUGGCAUGUUUCUAGCCCAGAUGGAAGAGAGAUCCGACAAACUGCUAAAGGGUUCCAAAACCAACACAUGAAAAGUGCCUGGUGCCAGCAAAUUCGAGGUAUGUUGGCAUGCAGUGCAGAAGAGAAAUGUAUUCACCCUGUUGGAAAGGGGAAGACAAGAAGACGGACGGCUGUUGAGAGAAGGCAGGGUGCUCCUUGCCAACUGUGAAACGCCAGCUCUGGGAAAAACAGUGGCUUCCAAACGGCUGAGCAGGACUGGCGCGAGCCAGGAGGAAGGGGCGCAGACAGCCAGGCGACAGGGAUCUCAAGAUGCAGGGCUCGGGGCUCAUCAGCCUGGCUCCCCUCAGCUGUGUCCUCAGCCACUCAGCUCGUUUUCUGCACCGGUUGGGGUGGGAUGUCCUGUCUUCACAUUCUUUCCUACCCUGGCCCCUCCCUCAUGCUGCUCCCCUCUCCUGAGACAGCUCCUCCCCUCCAUCCUCUGCCUAUUCCACUCUACCCAUCUUUGGGGGGACAUUUGUCACCUCAGGGCAUAUCUCUGAAUACACUCCCUACAGUAUGGAUAUCUCUCUAAUUACAAAUCCCUCCUCAUGAAGGGAGUUGCUAGAAAACUCGUCUCUUUAGACUUCAGUGCCAAGUAUUGUGUAUGACGUGUCCACAUGAGAAUUGGGUUUGAGGGGCUGCCCCAUGAAGGAAACCACAAGGGGGUAGCAGAGACCCUUGGUUCCAGAGCAUAUAGACCUUCUGGUUUCCAGUGUAGAGGGCCCUAGGUGCCAAGUGGCUGGGGAGUCUUCUCUAAGAAACUCCUUUGUGUGGUUGGGCACUCUAUGGCUAAUGGCUUCAGAGUCUGGCUCUCCUCGACAUUUGUGGGCUCUCUAAUAGCCUUGAUUAAAC